rnacentral:lncRNA from 1 species
CUCAGCUUAUCAAUUGAAUGAAAUCAAGUGUCCUCCAAUUUCGCUUUCUUCAUUCUCUCUGUCUAGGGUUCUCCUGGCCCUCACGGAAACCCUGGUCGCCCCGGCCCCCCUGGUGCUAAAGGCCACAAAGGGGAUCCUGGAAGGUCACCUGGAAAGGCCUACAAUGGGGAAAAGGGAAAUGCAGGCUUACCUGGAUUGACAGGGCAGCUGGGACCAGUUGGUCGGAAGGGGCAGAAGGGCUACCCGGGACCAUCAGGGCAUCCCGGAGACCAGGUAAGUGUCCCCAUUCCCGACAAAAUCACCAAGGAUUGAUU